rnacentral:rRNA from 1 species
UACGUAGGGCGCAAGCGUUGUCCGGAAUUAUUGGGCGUAAAGAGCUCGUAGGCGGCUUGUCACGUCGGGUGUGAAAGCCCGGGGCUUAACCCCGGGUCUGCAUUCGAUACGGGCUGGCUAGAGUGUGGUAGGGGAGAUCGGAAUUCCUGGUGUAGCGGUGAAAUGCGCAGAUAUCAGGAGGAACACUGGUGGCGAAGGCGGAUCUCUGGGCCAUUACUGACGCUGAGGAGCGAAAGCGUGGGGAGCGAACAGG